AUUGAACGCUGGCGGCAUGCCUUACACAUGCAAGUCGAACGGCAGCGCGGACUUCGGUCUGGCGGCGAGUGGCGAACGGGUGAGUAAUACAUCGGAACGUACCCUGUUGUGGGGGAUAACUAGUCGAAAGAUUAGCUAAUACCGCAUACGACCUGAGGGUGAAAGUGGGGGACCGCAAGGCCUCACGCAGCAGGGGCGGCCGAUGUCUGAUUAGCUAGUUGGUGGGGUAAAGGCCCACCAAGGCGACGAUCAGUAGCUGGUCUGAGAGGACGAUCAGCCACACUGGGACUGAGACACGGCCCAGACUCCUACGGGAGGCAGCAGUGGGGAAUUUUGGACAAUGGGGGCAACCCUGAUCCAGCAAUGCCGCGUGUGUGAAGAAGGCCUUCGGGUUGUAAAGCACUUUUGUCCGGAAAGAAAUCGCGCUGGUUAAUACCUGGCGUGGAUGACGGUACCGGAAGAAUAAGCACCGGCUAACUACGUG
rnacentral:rRNA from 1 species